rnacentral:rRNA from 1 species
AUUGAACGCUGGCGGCAGGCCUAACACAUGCAAGUCGGGCGGUAGCACAGGAGAGCUUGCUCUCUGGGUGACGAGCGGCGGACGGGUGAGUAAUGUCUGGGAAACUGCCUGAUGGAGGGGGAUAACUACUGGAAACGGUAGCUAAUACCGCAUAACGUCGCAAGACCAAAGAGGGGGACCUUCGGGCCUCUUGCCAUCGGAUGUGCCCAGAUGGGAUUAGCUAGUAGGUGAGGUAAAGGCUCACCUAGGCGACGAUCCCUAGCUGGUCUGAGAGGAUGACCAGCCACACUGGAACUGAGACACGGUCCAGACUCCUACGGGAGGCAGCAGUGGGGGAUAUUGCACAAUGGGCGCAAGCCUGAUGCAGCCAUGCCGCGUGUAUGAAGAAGGCCUUCGGGUUGUAAAGUACUUUCAGCGGGGAGGAAGGUGUUGUGGUUAAUAACCGCAGCAAUUGACGUUACCCGCAGAAGAAGCACCGGCUAACUCCGUGCCAGCCGCCGCGGUGA